GAGGGUACAGCUCAGUGGUAGAGCGUGUGCUUAGCAUGCAUGAGGUCCUAGGCUCAAUCCCCAGUACUUUCA
rnacentral:tRNA from 1 species